rnacentral:pre_miRNA from 1 species
AGUGGAAUUGCUGGAUUAUAUAGUAACUCUGUUUUACUUUUUGAGGAACUGCCCAACUGUUUUCCCAAGUAACUGCACCAUUUUACAUCUCCACCAGCAGU